GACGAACGCUGGCGGCGUGCUUAACACAUGCAAGUCGAACGGAAAGACCCUGCUUUUGUGGGGUGCUCGAGUGGCGCACGGGUGAGUAACACGUGAGUAACCUGCCCUUGACUUUGGGAUAACUUCAGGAAACUGGGGCUCAUACCGGAUAGGAGCUCCUGCUGCAUGGUGGGGGUUGGUAAGUUUCGGCGGUUGGGGCUGGACUCGCGGCUUAUCAGCUUGUUGGUGGGGUAGUGGCUUACCAAGGCUUUGACGGGUAGCCGGCCUGGGAGGGUGACCGGCCUCAAUGGGACUGAGAGACGGCCCAGACUCCUAUGUGACGCAGCAGUGGGGAAUAUUGCACAAUGAGCGGAAGCCUGAUGCAGCAACGCUGCGUGCGGGAUGACGGCCUUCGGGUUGUAAACCGCUUUCGCCGUUGACGAAGCGUGAGUGACGGUAAUGGGUAAAGAAGCACCGGCUAACUACGUG
rnacentral:rRNA from 1 species